UGCUACGUAMSAGACGGCAGCGNANGURNCUUGCUNCUUUGCCGGNSAGCGGCGGACGGGUGAGUAAUGUCUGGGAAACUGCCUGAUGGANGGGGAUAACUACUGGAAACGGUAGCUAAUACCGCAUGACCUCGAAAGAGCAAAGUGGGGGAUCUUCGGACCUCACGCCAUCGGAUGUGCCCAGAUGGGAUUAGCUAGUAGGUGAGGUAAUGGCUCACCUAGGCGACGAUCCCUAGCUGGUCUGAGAGGAUGACCAGCCACACUGGAACUGAGACACGGUCCAGACUCCUACGGGAGGCAGCAGUGGGGAAUAUUGCACAAUGGGCGCAAGCCUGAUGCAGCCAUGCCGCGUGUGUGAAGAAGGCCUUAGGGUUGUAAAGCACUUUCAGCGAGGAGGAAGGCAUCAUACUUAAUACGUGUGGUGAUUGACGUUACUCGCAGAAGAAGCACCGGCUAACUCCGUGCCAGCAGCCGCGGUAAUACGGAGGGUGCAAGCGUUAAUCGGAAUUACUGGGCGUAAAGCGCACGCAGGCGGUUUGUUAAGUCAGAUGUGAAAUCCCCGCGCUUAACGUGGGAACUGCAUUUGAAACUGGCAAGCUAGAGUCUUGUAGAGGGGGGUAGAAUUCCAGGUGUAGCGGUGAAAUGCGUAGAGAUCUGGAGGAAUACCGGUGGCGAAGGCGGCCCCCUGGACAAAGACUGACGCUCAGGUGCGAAAGCGUGGGGAGCAAACAGGAUUAGAUACCCUGGUAGUCCACGCUGUAAACGAUGUCGACUUGGAGGUUGUGCCCUUGAGGCGUGGCUUCCGGAGCUAACGCGUUAAGUCGACCGCCUGGGGAGUACGGCCGCAAGGUUAAAACUCAAAUGAAUUGACGGGGGCCCGCACAAGCGGUGGAGCAUGUGGUUUAAUUCGAUGCAACGCGAAGAACCUUACCUACUCUUGACAUCCACGGAAUUCGCCAGAGAUGGCUUAGUGCCUUCGGGAACCGUGAGACAGGUGCUGCAUGGCUGUCGUCAGCUCGUGUUGUGAAAUGUUGGGUUAAGUCCCGCAACGAGCGCAACCCUUAUCCUUUGUUGCAGCACGUAAUGGUGGGAACUCAAAGGAGACUGCCGGUGAUAAACCG
rnacentral:rRNA from 1 species